rnacentral:lncRNA from 10 species
GUUCUGGGCUUCUGGCUGCAUUCUAGGAAGAUCAUUCCUUAAAAGAAAUAGCCAUAUGGCUUAUAAGGGACUAUAUCUUAAGACUAUGUGUCUUCUGCAGUUCUUUGCAUAGAGUCAACGUUGAAGGACAAGCAACUUCAAAUUUCCAAGCAACAAAAUUAUGUUCGGGUGGUUUUCUGAAAGCGAGAUCUUAAGAACCACCUGUAUCAGAAUCCCAUGAAGAGCUUGUUUAGUGUGCAAAUUUACAGAUUGUCCCCCCUCAGAAAUGCUCAUUUAGGAGUUCCUGUCCUUUGCGGGGACAUGGAUGAAGCUGGAAACCAUCAUUCUCAGCAAACUAACACAGGAACAGAAAACCAAACACUGCAUGUUCUCACUCAAAAGUGGGAGUUGAACAAUGAGAACACAUGGACACAGGGAGGGGAACGUCACACACCAGGGCCUGUCGGGGGUGGGAGGUGCUAAAAGGAUAAUACCAAGGAAAACUAUGGGUGGGGGCAGUGAAUGGCCAGCAUGCCUAUAAUCCCAGCACUUGAAGCCAGGAGUUCGAGACCAGCCUGGGAAACAAAGCAAGACCCUGUGUCUAAAAAAAUUUUUUUAAAAAUAAGCUGGGCAUGGUGGCACGUGCCUAUAGUCCCAGCUACUCAGCUACUCGGGAGACCAAGACAUGGAAUAAACUUGACAAGUGCUAAAGAUGCUCUUUGAUUUUUGUGUGGCAUGAGACCUCAGGCUGAAACUUCUCAUCUGAGCCAUUGAAGGGAGCCUCUCAUCUCUCCACCGAGAGGGGAGACCAGAAUGGCUCCUUCAGGCACAUUCUGUUGGGCUUCCCUCUACCUCCCCACUCUGCUGCUUCCCCGCUCUUUUUGAAUUUCUCCCUGUUGAGGAGAGGGAAGACCAGCUAGGAGCUCUGUUUCUGGCAGGAAUCUGACACCACUUACUCCUUGGGUAGAAACUCCCCCAAGUCU